CACCUUCGACCUGCGCCAGCCGGCGCUGAGAGGUAGCCAGGUCCGAGACUGUCGCCAGCGAGUCGCGGUAGUCGGCCUCUGUGGAGUUGUCGUACACCGAGUCCAUCGCGAGCUGCUCGGCGUAGGACUUGCUCAUGUUCAGCGAGUAGGUCCGGGCCAAUCCCUGAAGCGUUGCACUGCGGGCUAUCCGCUCCACAUGGUCCUUGCCCAUACCGGCCGGAUCAAGUGCGUACUGGGUGAGGUCGUUGACCCCGAUCCCGUAGUUCGCCCGCAGGGCCUCUCGGACGUUGGGGUCGGUGGCCUCGGCCACCAUCCGGGCGUCCUGCAGCCGCUCCUCGAGCGACUGCACGUCGACGUCGGACUCGAUGAGCCGGGUGUAGGUGGACUUCUGGUCGAACGCGCUGCCGCGCAGGCCGUAGGCGUCCAGCGCCCGCGCGUACGAGCGCUCCAUCUCGAUGUACUCGCCCUCGGUGAUCGUCUGCCCGCGCGUGCGCAGCGCGGCCAUCGCCGGGAACCGGGCCUUGUACUCGGGCCGGUCGUACAUCUCGAUGAGGACUUGGUCGUCGGUCGCGCCUGCGCGCACCCGACCCAGGUACCAAGUCGCCAGGCCGCCGAGGCCGGCCUGGUUGAACAGCUGCGUCAGCCACGCCGGGAUGGCUGGGGUAGUCGCCAUGUCAGCCCACCUUCAUCAUCCUGCGAGGCCCAUUCUGGCCAUGAGGUUGUAGACGCCGUUGGACAGAGUGUCCUUGGCGUUGGCCGUGUUCAGCCAGCGGUUGUCCUGCUUCACCAGCGCGUCGAAGGAGGACAUGUCGCGAACCAUCUGCUUGCCGGACUUUGGGUCGGUGGUGGUGAACCCCUUGCCGUUGCGGAACAGCGGGUCGUUCCAGUCCAGGGUGUCGGGGUCCACCUCGAGCAACUGGGCGGCCUGCUGGAAGUAGCCGUCGGUCAGGCUGCGCAGCGACUUGCCGCCGGCGAUGUCGUCGGCGAAGACCGUGUACUUCGCCGCCGCCUGAUCACGCAGCCGCUGCUGCACGUCGCCGGCUCCCCGGCCGUACAGGUAGUCCUGCUCGAGCUGCUUGUCCAGGGCAUCGGAAAGCUCCACCCCGUAUUCGUCGGCGUACUGGUGCAUCUGGGUGACCGCGUCGUCCCACUCCCCGCCCUUGAGGGUCGUGCUCUUCGACCGGGCGAUCGCGUCGUUGAUCUGCUGGUCGUUCCAGCCGUACGCCCACGCGUCGCGCGCCAGCUUGGCGACCUCGGCUGCCGGCAGGUGGGAGCCCUGGGCGCCCAUCGCCGCCUCGAUCGACUUCUGGAUCGCGGCGAUGUCGCCCUUGGCGACGCCGGGCCUGGCUCGCUCCAGCACCAGCCGCUUGCCGAUGUCGACCGAGUACUUCUUGAAGAACCCGGUCUGCGCCAUGAGGGAGGCGGUGAUGGUCGGGUCGGUGAUCCGCCGCUUCACCAGCGUGUCGAUCAGCCAGGUGAUGCUCUUGCCCUCGCCCUUCGCCACCAGCUCGGAGUCGAGCUCCUUGAGGAUCUUGAUGUUGC
rnacentral:misc_RNA from 1 species